UACGGAGGGUGCGAGCGUUACCCGGAUUUACUGGGUGUAAAGGGCGUGUAGGCGGUCUCUCAAGUCCGAUGCUAAAGACCGAAGCUCAACUUCGGGGGUGCGUUGGAUACUGUGAGGCUAGACGGUCGGAGGGGGUAGCGGAAUUUCCGGAGUAGCGGUGAAAUGCGCAGAUACCGGAAGGAACGCCGAUAGCGAAGGCAGCUACCUGGACGAUUGGUGACGCUGAGGCGCGAAAGCGUGGGGAGCAAACCGG
rnacentral:rRNA from 1 species